rnacentral:lncRNA from 1 species
CUUCUUCGUUUUAUCUUCUCUCAAUUUCGAGGCGGACGUUCGAUUUUGAAGCCCGCCAUCGUCGUUCUCCGGACUUGGUUUUCUUAUACAUUGCUCGGCUUUGUGUUCACUGUUCCGUACGGUAUCGUGCCUCCGAUCGAUUCUGCUUGUCCGCGUUGAUUUCAACUCCGACCGACGGUCUUCGUUUUUUCUGUUAAUUUGAUCUUCGGUCUCAACCUUUCUUCACGUCGCACGAUUCGGGCAAGAAUUUAAAGAUAAUUAUCACGAUGGAUGCUGCAAGUGGGCCAAAACCUCUUCAAACAUUCACAGAGUGGUUUAUUGACUGUGGUAUGACUGCUGAAUUUGCUGCUGCCAUGGUCAAUGAACUUGGUAUCUCCAGUUACUCGGUCCUGCUUGCCUGUGCUGAGCCACCCUCCGUGCGAGCGGAAUUGUUUACUCAGGCUCGAAGCAAAUUGCCCUUUGGUUUUUAUGCCUCAUUACGGCAUCUCAUGGACACGUGCUUCCCACACAAUGCAGGGGAGAAUGCACCGAGGGAGAAUGGCACGUGUUACGUUCCAUUCGAGGAGAGGGUUCUUACUCCGUUACUAGAUCUUUUGGCAGGGUUAAUGGCAGGACUAGCAGAGGAGCUCACAAUGUAUCGUCAGCGGGUGUUAGGUCUGCAUUCGGAAGGACUUACUUCACCCAGCGAGUCCAUAAGAGACAACGUCUCACAAUGCAACUCCAACAUCGGUCCAUCAGGGUUGAGGUCGGGACUUGAUGUGGAGGAACCGGAUGUGCCUGGGGAUUUGGAAGAACCACACAAAGAACUGGAAGAUUCAAGACAGCCUUGUAAUUUUGAUGGUGAUCUCAUGAAUGGACAGCAGCCUGUAAAUGAGAAUGUGAUUGCACAAAUGCAGCUGGAAAUCAAGGUCGAAACAGAACCUACUUGCGCAUUACGUCCCUCUGCAGAAAGUUCUGGUGCUGUGGCAGCAGCCGAGCAGAUCGACCAGUCCGAGCCAGCCAUAUCCCGCACCACAGCGUGGAGGAAAAGAAAGUUGGAAAUGGGAGGCUCAUACUCUGUCAAAUUAAACAGAAAGCAGUAUACCUGUAGUAUGUGCGGCCAGCGAAUGACAGCACCUGGGCACAGCCAGUUCAGAGGACAGCGGUAUUGCCCACAUGCUCAGGGACAAAUACCAAAAGUGCAGUGGUUGGCAGAAAGGAAAGCAGCUGCAGACAGGAUCAAACUCGGUCUGAUACAGCAGAGUUGGCAGUUGUAUCACUCUGACCAGAGGCAACCACCCCCAUUGAGUGGAUCAAGCACAACACAACAAUAUUGAUGAUUCAAUGUGUAAUGGCAUUUUUGUGUUCCUUUUGCAAGCUUUCUGAUGCUGCCAUUGUCAGGAUUGAUGAUUGUGAAGAUAAAAUCAAUGUGCUGCAAAUACUCUUCUACAUGCAGGAGACUUGU